AACGAACGCUGGCGGCAUGCCUAACACAUGCAAGUCGAACGAGACCUUCGGGUCUAGUGGCGCACGGGUGCGUAACGCGUGGGAACCUGCCCUUAGGUUCGGAAUAACUCCCCGAAAGGGGUGCUAAUACCGGAUAAUGUCUUCGGACCAAAGAUUUAUCGCCUUUGGAUGGGCCCGCGUUGGAUUCGCUAGUUGGUAGGGUAAAAGCCUACCAAGGCGACGAUCCAUAGCUGGUCUGAGAGGAUGAUCAGCCACACUGGGACUGAGACACGGCCCAGACUCCUACGGGAGGCAGCAGUGGGGAAUAUUGGACAAUGGGCGAAAGCCUGAUCCAGCAAUGCCGCGUGAGUGAUGAAGGCCUUAGGGUUGUAAAGCUCUCUUACCCGGGAUGAUAAUGACAGUACCGGGAGAAUAAGCUCCGGCUAACUCCGUG
rnacentral:rRNA from 1 species